GAUGAACGCUGGCGGCGUGCCUAACACAUGCAAGUCGAACGGAGAUUACGGACGGAAGUUUUCGGAUGGAAGACUGUAAUUCUUAGUGGCGGACGGGUGAGUAACGCGUGGGCAACCUGCCCUAUACAGGGGGAUAGCAGCUGGAAACGGCUGGUAAGACCGCAUAAGUCGGCGAGACCGCAUGGUUUUGCCGGGAAAUGAGCAAUCAGGUAUAGGAUGGGCCCGCGUCCGAUUAGCCAGUUGGCAGGGUAAAAGCCUACCAAAGCAACGAUCGGUAGCCGGACUGAGAGGUCGGACGGCCACAUUGGGACUGAGACACGGCCCAAACUCCUACGGGAGGCAGCAGUGGAGGAUAUUGCACAAUGGAGGAAACUCUGAUGCAGCGACGCCGCGUGAGUGAAGAAGUAUUUCGGUAUGUAAAGCUCUAUCAGCAGGGAAGAUGAUGACGGUACCUGACGAAGAAGCCCCGGCUAACUACGUG
rnacentral:rRNA from 1 species